AGGCCCUAUAGCUGCUUUUAAAUUCUGAACAAUCUGGACUAUUUCUAAAAGUCCUUAAUGGCUAAUAAUCCAUGCAUUGAACUUCCUCAAGGAAAGAAUGAACUUGGGCAGGAACUACAAAGUCAAAAACCGAGCUCCCUAGGAGUGACCAGUAGUCUACCACACCUACGUCCGAGGUUCACAGAGAAUUCACAGAGAGCUGCAUGCUGAAAAGGUAGAGAUAUUAGAAGCAGCAAGGGCCCAGUGCCAAAGCUGGGGACCCAUGAAGGCAGAUGAAAGACUGGCACGGAUUAGGAUUUAAGUCAAGAUCAUGGGUUGAAUGUUAGGUGAGGAUGGCUCCAAGAUACUCCCUCAGGGAUUUGAAGGCGGCAGCUGCAAGAUGGGAGAAUGUUCUCUCACAGUAACUGGAAGUGCGCUGAUUGGCAGAGACCGGCCUCCUCACCUGAUUCUGACACAGGAGGAAGGCGAGGAUGGAGAGUUCUCAGAAGUGCUUGACGUGCAUUCCGAGUUUUAGAGUAUACACGAAUAAAGAAACUGCUAUGGAGUCUCUUGACGGCUGCCUGGAGAAUUGUAAAAUUGAGAAACGGACUGGAGUGGUCUGUGAUAGGCGGCCCAAGGAGGGGGCCAGUAACCAGCAGGUGGAAACUUCAACUCUCAGUCUGACAAGAAUAGAUGAGUUUUCUCUGGGCUAAUUGAGCACCUUAAAAAGUCACUGGGCUCAAGAUAUUUUGGUGGGCCCAUGCCCAGGGGAAUAGCCUGCCUAGGUGAGAAGCCCCCAGCAGCAUGAAGUUAGAGGAUACCUGCCAGUAGCCGGAGACGAACGGUGGAGCGCCACAAGAGGUCAGGUUGCCUCAAGAACAAGAGCCAAGAACCUUGCCAGUUCGACUUCUUGGAAUCUCCACUUCUCUAUCUUAUUAGCUCAGUGACCUUGGCAACUUAUGAGCCUCUCUCAUACUCAUUUUCCAUGUGCCCAUACUUGUGCCGGAGUCCAUACUCAUCUGUCAACUGGGAACAAUAUCACCUCUGUCCAGAGUUUAUGGAGUAUGGGUGAGUCUCCUAGCAGAGUGUUUCAUACUUUGGGAAAUUCGUGACACACCUUUAUCUUCUGCUUGUGAAGAGAAAAAAAAAAAAAUCAUCCUUUGGAUUUUAGGCGAGUGAUAUGUAUACAGCUCGUGUUAUGUUCUCAAGUCAUGUGUAUUGCUCCAUCUCUGGUUGUUUUCAUCAUUAUUUCUACGACACACCCAUCUUUUACAGAAAAGAUUUCAGGCUCCAUUCUAUGUUCUCAUCUCAUAUUUAAGAAGUGUGAUGUUGACUCUAGAGCAGAAGUUAACGAUUAUGUAGGAAACACAUCAGGCAAUCAGCAGCCACAGUCUAACCAGGGAUGAUACUACAUACUUGGGUCAGAUUCGCUGUGUGCAGUAUUUACCAAUAUGUUUUUGGGUAAAGGAACUAAGACAUCAAUCACAAAUUUUGCAGAAAUUAUCCAUUUAUGAGGAGUUGUG